CGCGUAGGCGGCUUGCCAAGUCAGUGGUGAAAUCCCGCAGCUUAACUGCGGAAGUGCCUUUGAUACUGGCGAGCUCGAGGGAGGUAGGGGUAUGUGGAACUUCUGGUGGAGCGGUGAAAUGCGUUGAUAUCAGAAGGAACGCCGGUGGCGAAAGCGACGUACUGGACCUCUUCUAACGCUGAGGCGCGAAAGCUAGGGGAGCAAACGGGAUUAGAUACCCCGGUAGUCCUAGCCCUAAACGUUGGGUACUAGGUUGUGGACUAACAUGGGUUCACAGCCGAAGCAAAAGUAUUAAGUACCCCGCCUGGGGAGUAUGGUCGCAAGGCUGAA
rnacentral:rRNA from 1 species